AAGAGUUACGGGGCUCGCAUAUGUAGCUGCAUCAAUAGUGUAAUUGGGUUACCCGGGUAAGAUUCGCUGUCAUAUUAUACUAUAAUCUUAUUAGGUUAUUAGGGGAGGGGCACUGUUUGGACUGCAAAGAGAGUUCAUACUUUCAUAAGACAAUGUUAUGCGUGUUCACAAAUAUGAUAGGCGGUUGUGGUGUUAAGGGUUAAUUUCUAUUGAUUAUUGUUUAAGAUACUAUUGUUUAAGAUACCAUUGGAUACGUGAGGGCACUCCGAAUAGAAUUGCUCACCUAAUGCGGGGUUUGACUCAACGGGUAAAUACUAAAUACUCCUACCUAUUAAUUCUAACUAGAUAUUUACAAAUAAGUAUUUAGAAACUUACAUAAUCUCAUAUCCUCUGUCUUAUAUUCAAUAACCACACCUUGAAGUUCGAUUGUGUAAUCUAUAAGUAAUGAUAUUACUUUAUCGGUAAUAAUUAGGUAAUCAUGAUAUAAUUCUAUUAGAAAUGAUGUUACUUUAUAAUCUCAGUAAUUAAUGAUAAUGAUAUAAUUUUAUUAGAAAUGAUGUUACUUUAUUGAUAAUGAUAUUACUUUAUUAGCACUUAUAUUACUUUAUCAGAAAUAAAGCAACAUCAUUACUACAUUAUUGGUGUGCAGCAGUUUUAAUUUAUAAUAUGAACAGUGAAUAUCUCGGAUGUACCCAGUACCCAAAAAUAAUCCCGCGUGCAAAUGAACAUUAUUAUGUUAAUUACAUUAUUAUGUUACAUAACAAUGUAACAUUGAUUACAUUAUUAUGUUAAUCACAUUAUUAUGUUAAUUACAUUAUUAUGUUAAUUACCCCUCUUGAUAAUGUAUCUGGCUAGAUGUUAAAACACGUAGCUGAGAUCGGUAAUGCUGGAAGCUGAUUGGUUAAUCAAUGACUCAAUCUGUUUACCGCGUCUAUAAUAUCUCUCCCAAGAGUAUUACCAUGGUAACGCUACCAUAUAAGGUAAUAUUAUGGUGGUAUCCAGAUCUCAGAGUUGAGUCUGCUUUUAUUUGGAUCUAUCGGCAACUUAUUUCCCUUUUUGUCGAUAUGAUCUAUCUAUAAUACUAUGAACAUACUAAUUAUUUUGGUUAAUUUGACCUGGGUACAUCGCUUGCACCUUCUGAAAUUCUUCCAUCUAUCCAUCGAUAGAAAUCAAACUUAUCUCUAUAAAUUUACCUUACGUUCGUAAUGUCGCUUUUCUCCACGAUUCUAAUGUAUUUACCAAAUAUAUGUUCGUGAUAUGAGUGAACAGUGAAUGUUACUGCUUUAUUGUUGGUGUAUACUGUGUAUAUUCAGUUGAAUACUACUACUUUUCUAACUGUAUCUGAGCAUAUGUUACAGACUCGUUAUUUAUACGUUUUACUUGUGUUUGAUUAGUGAGUUUGUCUUCAAUCAGACAAUUAAUUAAUAAGAUAACUAAUUACCUUUUAAAACUUCGGUUUUAAUCAGUGUUCAAUUGUAAAGAUCUUUCUAAUUUCUAAUAUACAUUAUACUGCAGAUAAUAGUCAAUAGUUUUAUUAUUUUAUUCUAACAGUGAAAUCAUUUAACAAUAUAUGAUAUGUCUAGAAGAUCAGAUGAUAUCAGAUACCAGACAGAGAUCAGAUGUUCAACUAAAACAGCGUUUCUGCACGUGCGACGAAAUAUCUGGUGAAGUGAGUCUAGCGAAUACUGGAUAGGGUGUUAACGCAGUCCACCUUACAGACAAAAUGUUUGGCAACUCUGUGGAUAAGAAAAGUUUAUCAGAAGAACUGUUAGGAAGGUGCCAGGAUACAGAAUCUCAGAACCAACUAACAAUUAAGAAGUAGAACCUUGUCAGUAUAACGGGAAACAUGAACAAUAUUCAAAUACGAUUAUCCGAACACUUCCAGAGUGCUUGAUAUUUCAGUGACUUAUUAUAUUUUAUUAUAUCUUGAAUACGAUUAAAUAUCUUGAUUAAGAUUUAAUAUUUUGAAUGCGAUUAAAUAUUUUGAAUGCGAUUAAAUAUUUUGAAUACGGUUAAAUAUUUUGAAUUCGAAUAAAUAUUUUGAAUACGAUUAAAUAUUUUGAAUGCAAUUAAAUAUUUUGAAUACGAUUAAAUAUUUUGAAUACGAAUAAAUAUUUUGAAUGCGAUUAGAUAUUUAUAUUUUGAAUGCGAUUAAAUAUUUUGAAUGCGAUUAAAUAUUUUGAAUACGGUUAAAUAUUUUGAAUUCGAAUAAAUAUUUUGAAUACGAUUAAAUAUUUUGAAUGCGAUUGAAUACUUUGAAUACGAUUAAAUAUUUUGAAUACGAUUAAAUAUUUUGAAUACGAUUAAAUAUUUUGAAUGCGAUUGAAUACUUUGAAUACGAUUUAAUAUUUUGAAUGCGAUUGAAUACUUUGAAUACGAUUUAAUAUUUUGAAUGCGAUUGAAUACUUUGAAUGCGAUUAAAUGUUUUGAAUGCGAUUGAAUAUUUUGAAUACGAUUAAAUAUUUUGAAUACGAAUAAAUAUUUUGAAUGCGAUUAGAUAUUUAUGUUUUGAAUGCGAUUAAAUAUUUUGAAUGCGAUUAAAUAUUUUGAAUACGGUUAAAUAUUUUGAAUUCGAAUAAAUAUUUUGAAUACGAUUAAAUAUUUUGAAUGCGAUUGAAUACUUUGAAUACGAUUAAAUAUUUUGAAUACGAUUAAAUAUUUUGAAUACGAUUAAAUAUUUUGAAUGCGAUUGAAUACUUUGAAUACGAUUUAAUAUUUUGAAUGCGAUUGAAUACUUUGAAUGCGAUUAAAUGUUUUGAAUGCGAUUGAAUAUUUUGAAUACGAUUACAUUUUUUAAUCGGUUUAUUUAUGAAAAUUACAAUUUUUCUUAUUUAAAUUUAUAGUUUAAAUUUGUAUAUCACUAUGAUCUGCUUCCAAUAUUUGUUUGAAAUAAAUUACAUA